CAGGAGCGAAUCUGGAGCUCAUGAGGCUGACUCUUCUAAAAUGCAGCCACAGGUAGUCAUCGAAUCCGGCUUCCUAUGCUGUGCAAUCAACAAAUCAAAAUAACUUGUGUCAUCAUUAGAAUGUCAGAUGUGCUUCUACGAACUAAGCUGACUCUUUUAAUUCUUUGGCAAAGGGUUGGCAAACUAGGACUGUUUGCCAAAUUCAGCCUGCCUCCUAUUUUUAGAGUCUUCCUGAAACACAGCUACACCCGUAUUAUCCAUGGCUGCUUUCCUGUCACAGUGAGUAAGUAGCUGGGACUGAGAAGGCAUGGCCUCCAAAGUCUAAAAUAUUUACUCUCUAGCACUUUGUAGAAAAACCUUAGCUAGGCACAGUGGCUAACGCCUGUAAUCCCAGCAUUUUGGGAGGCCAAGGCAGGCAGAUCACCUGAGGUCAGGAGUUCCAGACCAGCCUGGCCAACAUGGUGAAAUCCCAUCUCUACAAAAAUAAAACAGUUAGCUGGGCAUGAUGGCGGGUGCCUGUAAUCCCAGCUACUCGGGAGGCUGAGGCAGGAUAGUCGCUUGAACCCAGGAGGUGGAGGUUGCAAUGAGCCAAGAUCAUGCCACUGCACUCCAGCCUGGACGACAGAGUGAGACUCCAUCACAAGAAAAAAAGAACUUUGUCAACCUCUGUCUUAGGGCGCCUUGUCACAGGCUUCGGGUCAGACGGAUUCAACCUUGCAUCAGCCAUUUGUUAGCCAGGUCACUCUGUUCUUUGUCUGUAAAUGAGAUUGAUCGUUGUUCCCACUGAGAGUGUCAGCUCCUUCCCGUAGAGCAGGCAUGAUGAUUGUACUCACCUCUGACACCAUUGUGAGUGCCACAUUCCUUCCCACGUCCUUGUCACUGUAAGAGAUGCCCACCUGAGCACCAACCCCAGGUUAUCUUCCCCUUUGUCUUCCAGCCCCCCAGAAACAGCUACGACUCAACCUACCCAAUCAUUUCAUCAUCAGAUUGCCACUGUCUCUAGUUCAGGUCUCUUGGGACUGGCACUCAGAAAUCUCAUAAUAAAUCCUCUUGAGGCUUCUCAUACACUCGUCUUCUUCCAAUCUUCUUUCCCUCAAAAUCUCAUAUUUUGGUUCCACUUCACCCACCGUCAUUCUCCAUAUCACUCCCAGGAGUUAGGCAAAAAGCCCCUUCCGUUCUUCCGUAUGUUAAACUUAGAAUCACUCUGUUCCCUGCUCUGCGUUUCUAUUUUUUGUUUUUCCUCCAUUUACUAGUAGCUUAACACUUUCUAACAGUGUUCUUAUUAUUGAUACGUAUCUAUCUCUUCCAUAAGCUUAUAAGGUCACGGAUAAUACUUCUCAUUGUAGUACGUAAAUGACGUGGGCUAGAUAUGAGUUGAAUAAACAGUUAUACCUGUAAAUUCUUACAGAGUGAAAAUAAAUUGUUAUACUUUACAAUUUGUUUCUCUCUUUAGACCAUUUCCAGGACUUGUGAUUAAUAACCGUGAGUAUUUUGUGAAGUGUUUUGUUUUUGUUUUUUCCUGGGGUCUGACGUGUGUGCGUGUGAGUGUGUAUACAUGCUUAACGUAUAUCACGUUACUUCACCUAUGUCAGUAACCAGGCCAAAUACUUGUUUUAGCCCUCAGUAAAAACACCAGGCACUUCCUAGUUGUAAAAUUAUUCAAGCUUCUUAACUUCCUAUCCUCGAUGCACUUAAUCAUAAAAUGGUAAUAAUAGCACCGAUUUUGGGGGAGUCGUUCCAGUAGAUGGAAAGCAUCUGGAACAGGUGUCAGCAAGCUCCUGCCGACGUGUAUGCAUAAAGUUUUAUUGAAACCACCAUCGUGUCCAUUUGUUUAUGGCAGAACUGAGAGAUGGCAGCAGCAAGUGUGUGCCUGCAAAACCUAAAAUAUUUACUAAUUGGCUCUGCAAGAAAAGAGUUUGCAUCCCCCUAACCUAGAACAGUGUCUAGCCUCUAGUAUGUGUUUAGCCUACAGUAUGUGCUCAGCGAAUACAAUCUAUAUUUAUUACUGCUUUUAUGACUGUUAUAAUUACUGUGCUUGGAUUUCGUUACAAAGUAAGUCACAAUGUGCCUGCUUCUGUUAGUAUUUCAGCACAGUGCCUGGCACACAUGGGGCUCUCAAAUAUUGCUGAGCGAGUGAACAAAUGUCCUUUCAAUUCCUUAACGUUGAUGUCAUUUUCAAUAGUAUUUUGAGCCAAACUUAAUUUUGCGAGUGUGUUUUGUUUUCUUAACUUUAUUAUUAAAAAUGUAUAAAAGUGAGGCCAGGCGUGGUGGCUCACGCCUGUAAUCCCAGCAGUUUGGGAGGCUGAGGCAGGCGGAUCAGUUGAGGUUGGGAGUUGGAGACCAGCCCGUCCAACAUGGUGAAAGCCUGUCUCUACUAAAAAUACAAAAAUCAGCUGGGUGUGGUGGCGCGUGCCUGUAAUCCCAGCUACUCAGGAGGCUGAGGCAGGAGAGUUGCUUGAAUCCUAGAGGUGGAGGUUGCAGUGAGCUGAGAUCGUGCCAUUGCACUCCAGCCUGGGCAACAAGAGCAAAACUCUGUCCCAAUAAAUAAAUAAAUAAAAUGUUCUCUUUUGUUCCUGUUCUUGUGCGGUAGUGUGGUAUAGAGUUUUAUGGUAAUUACUGUGAAUUAGUGAUUCUGAGGGACAUAUCAGAACUCUGAGGUUUGUUUCCUUCUCAUCUUGAGGGAAACAGCAAAUGUAUGUUAAAAUGCUUUUCCAAGGGAACAACACAUCCUUACAUUAUUUAAACCAAUCUGCUUCAUUUUCAGAGCUGGUUGAUCAGAGUGAGUCAGAAGGCCCCGUGAUACAAGAAUCAGCUGAACCAAGCCAGUUGGAAGUUCCAGCCACAGAAGAAAUAAAAGAGACUGAUGGAAGCUCUCAGAUCAAGCAAGAACCAGACCCCACGUGGUAGACCUCUUCCCUCCUAGGCUUAAAGUAUCAGUGGUUGAGAAGAGCUUUUCGGACCUGUUACUACCCCAAGCUGUGUAAUAUACUUGUAUAACAGAAAUACCUUCUAUACAAACCUUUUUUUCUACUUUUAGAUAGAAAUGUCUACUUUUUCAGCAGUUCUGUGAAUUAAAGAGCAGAGUGACUGUGGGUCUGGAAUGGCUGGUGUACUUGGGAAUGUACUAUCAGGAUUUUACAGCAAUGCUGGGAAAUGACAGGGAAAAUGACAGGAAUGAAUCUCACCAGAUUUUUUAUGUACUCAGCAGAGCCUUGAGUUACGGUGUUUAUUUUCCAAUCAAGUGAAGAUAUCUCCUACUUCUCCUACUGGAACAUCUCAGCUUCUGCAGUGAAGAAAAAUUCCUGUGAUAGUUCAGUUCUUUAGUUUUUCUAUUUGAAAAAAAAAAAUCAUUUAAAUGAUCCUUUGUUCACGGCUCUCCUUAAUGACUGAGUGAACAGUUCCUAUCUGUAUAUUUGACUAAACCUUUUCCUAAGCUAUCUCUCAUGGUUCCUAUGUUUUUUUAUCAUAAUUAAAAGCAAAACCAUCUGGAUCACCUAACAGUCAGAGGUCAGUAUCUCAGCGUGUGAAUUAUAGAGGAAAUACAGAGAGAACCUCUUCCACUUUUACUUUUCGUCCAAAUAAAAUGCAUGGUGUACCAGAAGUUGAAGAUCGGGUUGAGGAUUGGGGCUAGCUCGAUGACACUAAGGCCCCAACAUCGCGGGACCUGCUGUGGCGCGGAUUCUUAGGAACGCUGUUCUAGCCGGCCCCCUCUCCAGGGGUCGCCGUGGCCGGCAUUAUUUCCUAGUUCUUCUUGUAACCCUGAGGUGCCAGCGCGGGGAGUGAGGAGGGGUCAGGGGGCUAAGGAUGCAACCUCUGACGUUCUGCGCCUUCCUAGGAGAGUCUUACAUGUGUUGAGAUUUCACAAGCAAUGCGAGUUGUAAAAUACCAGCUCUACAAGAAGCUAGGCUCUGUGACGGCAUAGUUUUCAGUAGCUUUAUCACAAUAUUCACAAUGGAGAAUUAUAUGACAUGGUAGCAGAAAUAGGCCCUUUUAUGUGUUGCUUCUAUUUUACCUCAAAUUGUAGAUAUAGGGUAAUCAAUAAAAUCCAUCCAUGCCUUUCACACACU
rnacentral:lncRNA from 1 species